GAUGAAGAACGCAGCGAAAUGCGAUAACUAGUGUGAAUUGCAGAAUUCCGUGAAUCAUCGAGUCUUUGAACGCACAUUGCGCCCCCUGGUAUUCCGGGGGGCAUGCCUGUCCGAGCGUCAUUGCUGCCCAUCAAGCACGGCUUGUGUGUUGGGUCGUCGUCCCCCCCUCCGGGGGGGGACGGGCCCUAAAGGCAGCGGCGGCACCGCGUCCGAUCCUCGAGCGUAUGGGGCUUUGUCACCCGCUCUGUAGGCCCGGCCGGCGCUUGCCGAACGCAAAACAACCAUUCUUUCCAGAUUGACCUCGGAUCAGGUAGGGAUACCCGCUGAACUUAAGCAUAUCAAUAAGCGGAGGA
rnacentral:misc_RNA from 1 species